rnacentral:rRNA from 1 species
GAUGAACGCUGGCGGCGUGCCUAAUACAUGCAAGUCGAGCGAACAGACGAGGAGCUUGCUCCUCUGACGUUAGCGGCGGACGGGUGAGUAACACGUGGAUAACCUACCUAUAAGACUGGGAUAACUUCGGGAAACCGGAGCUAAUACCGGAUAAUAUAUUGAACCGCAUGGUUCAAUAGUGAAAGACGGUUUUGCUGUCACUUAUAGAUGGAUCCGCGCCGCAUUAGCUAGUUGGUAAGGUAACGGCCUACCAAGGCGACGAUGCGUAGCCGACCUGAGAGGGUGAUCGGCCACACUGGAACUGAGACACGGUCCAGACUCCUACGGGAGGCAGCAGUAGGGAAUCUUCCGCAAUGGGCGAAAGCCUGACGGAGCAACGCCGCGUGAGUGAUGAAGGUCUUCGGAUCGUAAAACUCUGUUAUUAGGGAAGAACAAAUGUGUAAGUGACUAUGCACGUCUUGACGGUACCUAAUCAGAAAGCCACGGCUAACUACGUG